GGAGGGUUUGAAGGCCGGAUCCAAUGAUUUUCUUGUAGGUACUCGUAAAUAUUGCAGUUAAAUAUUCAUAUGUGUUUUCUUUCUGUUUUCAGGCAAAAAUUGGAAGAAAUUGGAAUGACUGGGAUAUGGUUGAUGCUAUGGGAGUACCUAUACAUAGAUAGAUAUUUUCAUCUGACCGGACAAAUCAACCAAGCAUCAAAUCAAAGCAAACAGAGAGACCUCUUCUGCCUUUCAAAAUACAUACGAUUUUCAAACUACAACAUCGUAGCAAAUAAGAUAAGGAAACCAAUUAUCGAAAAAAACAACUUGCAGUAAACAAACCGAAAAUGAAAAUGAGCAAAUAUCGCAAAAUUAAUCUCCGAUAAGAACGAAUUGUGACGUAGAUAUGCACACAUGUAGUGCUGAGAUUAGCGUUGAAAAUCAACUUAGGUAUGGUAUAGUAAAAAUGUACGAACUACAUCGACAGAAAAAUGUUUGGAUCAGGUAGAGAAAAGUUGAUCGAGGAUUUAAUUAAUCACAUCAUUAAGCAAGGUUUCAGCUUGUGUAUACCAUGUAUUACCUAUAGACAUCUAGUUUGCUCAGUCCAGAUGAAAAUUUUGCAAUUAUGAGAUGACCUGGAGAAUUCAACAAGAAUUCAAUUUUUCUUUGCUAUUUUUAAUUUACUACUUAUGUACUUUUAGUUAUGUAUUUUGUAUUUCCUGAUUCAUUUAUUAAAUUAUUAUAUUUUAUAGUAUUUCUAAUCUAAGCCAUCUUGAUUGUGAUUUCCUGAAUAUUUAAUCCUAAAA